UCUCCGUUGGUGAACCAGCGGAGGGAUCAUUACAGGACUCGCAAGACUCCUACAACCCUGUGAACUUAACUAUAAGCACGUUGCUUCGGCGGGUGUCUCGGAGGGGGUUCUCCCUCCCCGAGACGCUAAACCCGCCGGCAGCCUACUAUACUCUGUCUCUUUGCGUUGGCAUCUCGAGUACAAUCAAACAAGUUAAAACUUUCAACAACGGAUCUCUUGGUUGUG
rnacentral:misc_RNA from 1 species